UUUGAUCAUAAUCCACGCCCUGCAGGACUUCUUGUCUGGAUAAGGUGGAGGAUAUGCUGAAACAGUGUUUUUUAUACUUAGGGAUGUUGCCUUGCUGUCAUCUUCACGGAGUUCUGGAAGGAUAGACGUGAUGAGAUUCCAGUGCCUGCCAAAGCCAGGAACUGUGUACAUAGAUUUAAGAGAUGCUAAACCACACAAGUCAGUAACAUCUCCUGAUGAGGAAGAAAGUGCAAGUGGCAGCUCCACUGAAGAAGAGGAGACAAUUAAGGACCAAGCAGAAAGGAGAAUGAGGAAUUGCUCAGGGAAAAGCCUGCUACUGCAACAACUCCGUACAGCCCGGAAAGAAGCCUCAGAGCUUCUUCAUAAAACAUCUAUCCCAGAUGAAAAACUUGAAGGGAUAAAACAGGAUCCAGAAAGUCCAGAAGAGACAGGUUUCUCUAAAAUAAGUCAAAAGCAAUAUUUUAAAGUAAAGCAAGAGACAAAUAAAGCAAUUCCCAGGACACUGGUGAGAUUGAAACCAGAGAAAAGAAAUAGCACCUUGACAAGCCAUGGGGACGAUGGAGCUGACAUAGAGAAAGAAAACAAAAUGGAAGCUGAAAAAGUUCAAAGUUCAGGAAAUGCUCCAGGGUCUCCUCUAACUGCAACAGAAUGGCCAAGGUAUCACAAGAAAAAGUCAUCAGUGGCUUUGGUUAUGGCUUAUCUAAUUGUCUUAAGAAUAAAGAACAUUACUUAUCUGGUCUGUAAGUUGGAGCAAAAGGGUGUCUGGUUUUGUUACCUAGGAAGUCAGCCAGUCCUGGCAGCUAUUGUUUAAAGAUGUGGAGGCAGCCAGACUUAGCAGAUCAGUCAGCUAGCCUGGGAUUAGCACUUCUGACAUAGUAAAUUUACCCAUUUUCUUUAGUUUCUAUUCUAUAUAAGAGGAGGAUAAGAUGCUAUUGAUCUCCUGUAUGAAGAGCAGUACUGGGAUUUACUAAGCGUAGCGUUGUACAAGAUAGGUCUGGAAGGGGCUGUCUCCCUGUACCGAUAUAGUGAAGUACAAUCCAGUCCUUUCCUGGCAGAUCUUGUAACUUGGUCUUGAUCUCCUCAAUGGGGAGGAUUCCUUGACUUAAGUAAUAAAUUUGGCUGCUUAAUUAUCCUUACA
rnacentral:lncRNA from 1 species